UACGUAGGGGGCAAGCGUUGUCCGGAGUUACUGGGCGUAAAGCGCGCGCAGGCGGCUCGUCAAGCCUGACGUGAAAGCCCCCGGCUCAACCGGGGAGGGUCGUCGGGGACUGGCGGGCUUGAGGUCGGCAGGGGCUGGUGGAAUUCCCGGUGUAGUGGUGAAAUGCGUAGAGAUCGGGAGGAACACCCGUGGCGAAGGCGGCCAGCUGGGCCGGACCUGACGCUGAGGCGCGAAGGCGUGGGGAGCGAACGGG
rnacentral:rRNA from 1 species